rnacentral:lncRNA from 1 species
UUUGUUUUUCCCUUGGGAACGAACAGUACUUGCUUCAGUAGUGUUGAUUGGAAAAUAACCCUUUAUUUUUUGUUGGACCAUUUCUCAGCUGGAUUGAUUCCUGUUUCAGUUGUUUAGCUACACAAGCAUUUCUGACAGUGCAGUGGAAAGGGAGAUGAGGGAUCUGAGGGGGCAGCUGGAAGCACGGAGGACACAGGGCUGUUCAGAUCAGCCACAUCAACUCUGCUGCCAAAUGCCAAGUCUCAUUUUCUUCUCCCAAUCCAGGUCCCUUCUGCUUCUGUCACUUCCAUCUGCCCAUCACAAGCCUUGGAUUGAAGGGGGAGUUCAGUUACACUGCAGGGUGAGUUGACACCCUUGUUCUGGCACCAUCCUGCUCUUUUGAACUGUGCCUGAUCUGUGAGCUAAUCUGAUAAAUGAGGACAUUUUGUGCACACAUGGUGUGCAUUUUAAAGAGCUUCAGUGUGUUAACAAACUGCUCUGAAUAUGGUGGGCCCCACCAGAAAGCACAUAAUUUGAGGCACAUGAGAAAGAGAUGCAGACCUGAGGAAGUAAAGAAGGUUCAUUUGGAAUGACUGAACCACCACCACAGAGCUGCUUUCCAGGACAGACAUGAGCUUUCACUUGCUUUUACUACAACUAUUUAAAAUGUGCUUUCUCAAG